GCCCGGCUAGCUCAAUCGGUAGAGCGUGAGACUCUUAUGAUCACGUAAUCAAAAACAAUCUCAAGGUUGUGGGUUCGACCCCCACGUCGGGCU